CCUACGGGCGGCUGCAGUGGGGAAUAUUGCACAAUGGGGGAAACCCUGAUGCAGCAACGCCGCGUGAAGGAAGACGGUUUUCGGAUUGUAAACUUCUGUUCUUAGUGAAGAAUAAUGACGGUAGCUAAGGAGCAAGCCACGGCUAACUCCGUGACAGCAGCCGCCGUAAUACGUAGGAGGCAAGCGUUGACCGGAAUUACUAGGUGUAAAGGGAGCGCAGGGGGGAAGACCAGUCAGCUGUGAAAACUACGGGCUUAACUUGUAGACUGCAGUUGAAACUGGUUUUCUUGAGUGAAGUAGAGGUUUGCGGAAUUCCGAGUGUAGCGGUGAAAUGCGUAGAUAUUCGGAGGAACACCGGUGGCGAAGGCGGCCAACUGGGCUUUAACUGACGCUGAGGCUCGAAAGUGUGGGGAGCAAACAGGAUUAGAUACCCUGGUAGUC
rnacentral:rRNA from 1 species